GACGAACGCUGGCGGCGUGCUUAACACAUGCAAGUCGAACGGAAAGGCCCUGCUUUUGUGGGGUGCUCGAGUGGCGAACGGGUGAAUAACACGUGAGUAACCUGCCCUUGACUUUGGGAUAACUUCAGGAAACUGGGGCUAAUACCGGAUAGGAGCUCCUGCUGCAUGGUGGGGGUUGGAAAGUUUCGGCGGUUGGGGAUGGACUCGCGGCUUAUCAGCUUGUUGGUGGGGUAGUGGCUUACCAAGGCUUUGACGGGUAGCCGGCCUGAGAGGGUGACCGGCCACAUUGGGACUGAGGUACGGCCCAGACUCCUACGGGAGGCAGCAGUGGGGAAUAUUGCACAAUGGGCGGAAGCCUGAUGCAGCAACGCCGCGUGCGGGAUGGCGGCCUUCGGGUUGUAAACCGCUUUCGCCUGUGACGAAGCGUGAGUGACGGUAAUGGGUAAAGAAGCACCGGCUAACUACGUG
rnacentral:rRNA from 1 species